rnacentral:rRNA from 1 species
GAUGAACGCUGGCGGCGUGCCUAAUACAUGCAAGUCGAGCGAACGGACGAGAAGCUUGCUUCUCUGAUGUUAGCGGCGGACGGGUGAGUAACACGUGGAUAACCUACCUAUAAGACUGGGAUAACUUCGGGAAACCGGAGCUAAUACCGGAUAAUAUUUUGAACCGCAUGGUUCAAAAGUGAAAGACGGUCUUGCUGUCACUUAUAGAUGGAUCCGCGCUGCAUUAGCUAGUUGGUAAGGUAACGGCUUACCAAGGCAACGAUGCAUAGCCGACCUGAGAGGGUGAUCAGCCACACUGGAACUGAGACACGGUCCAGACUCCUACGGGAGGCAGCAGUAGGGAAUCUUCCGCAAUGGGCGAAAGCCUGACGGAGCAACGCCGCGUGAGUGAUGAAGGUCUUCGGAUCGUAAAACUCUUUUAUUAGGGAAGAACAUAUGUAUAUGUAACUGUGCACGUCUUGACGGUACCUAAACAGAAAGCCACGGCUAACUUCGUG